GGCGGCGUGGGGACCAGCGCGGGCCGGGGCAGCUGGUACCUGGGAUCGGGCAGGACGGUCCUCUUGCUGGCGCGGGCGGCCGGAGUCGCCUUGCUCUUCUCCAUGGCCAUCAGGUAAUGAUGAAGCCCCUGCUCUGGUCCAAGCUACCUGUGAACAGCGCCCAGCGGGCCGGGCCCCCAACCUCGCUCCUGAACGUACCCGCAAGCCCGCCGUGAGAAUUCAGCGAAGAGUAAAGGCUGGAGAAAGUUGCGUGUCUCAGGCUAAGCAGAGCAAAGUGGGGUGAGGGCUUCGCCGCUAGGAACAGAGAUGCCCUUAGGGAGCCCCCUGAUGGAAGAGCUCUCUGCUUAAGAAGGUCAGCACGCCCUUACACUCAGUUUUACCACGUUUUUCAAGAUCCAAGGCACAAUAGGCAUAAAGUUAUCCUGAAAAGGACAAGAGGAGUGUCAGAAGUAGGAAUGGCAGUCGAAGGAGCUUCGUCUGGCAGCAGAAAGCCAAAAUGACAGGCAAGCACAAAAUAUAUUAAUGAGACAAAGCUAUGCAUGAGCGAAAUAUCAAACUUUCAUCUUCUACCCACUUUUUUUUUUUUUUGCUUAAAAAUAGGAAGACAGAAUGUCUUGUCAAGGGUCACCCCAGGAGGAGGAGUAAAUUCUCCAAAAAUCAGAACAUAUUUUUAUGAUUUAAUUAAUGCAAUUUCUCUCAAUGUUUCUGUUUGUCAUUUGAGCAUCCACAUGAUCAGACCUGACAUCUGCCUACAUUUUAUUGGUCAUCUUUGACUUCAGUUAAGAACCCUUUGGGUUUUGCUUUUUGCUUUUUUUUCCCCCCAGCAGCACACUGUAGUAAGUUUGGAACAAGACACACCUGAAAUCAAGUCCCUGCUCUGGGCUGGGUGAUCUUAGAGGCAAUCUCUUAACCUCAUUCUACUUUAUUGUUCUCAUAGGAAAAGUGGAAAUGAGGCCUUUUACCCCAGGGUUGUUGAGAAGACAGGGGAGAAAAAGCACAUAAAAAUGCACCUUGUCGGGCGCAGUGGCUCACACCUGUAAUCCUGCACUUUGGGAGU
rnacentral:lncRNA from 1 species